rnacentral:lncRNA from 1 species
AUGGUUUUGAAUAAAAUAGUCACUUUUAAAAUUUGCCAUGGGAUAUCACAAUGGACAAUGCAGGGACCCUUCAGCCCAUAGUCAACGUGUCAGAUUCUGGCAAAACUAGCUUGGAGUUUACUGAGUUUAAUGAUACUGAAUGACAUCAGGACUCACUCUUCUCUUUUCACUUUUUUGCUAUGAGUGGGAAAAAAUAUAACUGCAUAAGCAAUGUACUUUUUUUCUUAACGCAAUUUAAUCUUUACUAAAAUUAAUUUUGAUAAUCAUAUUCACUUUUCCAGUGGAGUAAGCAGGGUUUUACUGUGCUUCUUGAAUCAUUGUCACACUAUAAAUGCAAACUAAUACACAAUGACAAAAAUUACUUAUUUGAGAUCAGAGGUUUUUGGUUAAGACAAAAUUCCCUCAGAGACUCAAAUGUCAUCUGUUGAUUGAAAUAUACAUCUGUGUUUUGAGAUUAAGCCCAAAUGAAGGGUGGCUUCUCUCUCUGGAUCGGACUAUACUUUGAGUCAUUUAGUUACAGAUUUUGCAUAUUUUUCAAAAGGGAAAUAUAUAUACACGUAUACAUACAUACAC